CUGAACCAGCCAAGUAGCGUGAAGGAUGAAUGGUCCUACGGAUUGUAAACUUCUUUUAUACGGGAAUAAAGUAUCCUACGUGUAGGAUUUUGUAUGUACCGUAUGAAUAAGCAUCGGCUAACUCCGUGCCAGCAGCCGCGGUAAUACGGAGGAUGCGAGCGUUAUCCGGAUUUAUUGGGUUUAAAGGGAGCGCAGACGGGAGAUUAAGUCAGUUGUGAAAGUUUGCGG
rnacentral:rRNA from 1 species